CUUAUAUUACCUCCAUCCCAAAUUACUUGUCUUAGAUUUGUCUAUAUACGAAUGUAUCUAACACUAAUACGUGCCUAGAUACAUCCAUAUUUAGACAAAUAAUUCGGGACGGAGGGAGUAUUCA
rfam:Triticum aestivum genome assembly, contig: Triticum_aestivum_CS42_TGACv1_scaffold_434265_5DL